AGGUAAUUAGUUUAAGAAAAACAUUUGAUUUCGGCUCAAAAGCUUGUGGUUAAAGUCCACACUCACCUA
rnacentral:tRNA from 2 species